AAGAUAACCUAUAUAUAUUUAAAGCUCACGUGUUUCUUGAAUAUGCGUUUGCAGCUAUAUAUAAAAUUACCUUUGUAUGUACUUAGAUCGGGUAUAAGAAUGAAUAACAAGACAAAAUGUAUACAUUUAGUUGUAUAGUGAUUCUAUUGAAUUAACGUCGAUUGUCAAUUGAUAAGAUCGUUUUCGAGAAAAAUUGUAACAGGUUAGAUUUCACGUGAACAAACCAUCAACACGACGGCGACAAUGGAUAAACAAACAUUCAAUAUAAUGGAUAAGAUGAACGAAAUAAAGCACUGGUGGAAUUCUGUAAAUUAUCUGAAAAAAUUCGAUGGAGAACAAGCAAACAACGCCAGGAUGUAUUUUGUACAACGGUGCAGAGAGUUUUCUAAAACGUUAGAAUUACCAAACCAAAAUUUUGGUCCAUCAGUUAUGUGUUCACAUUGCGGAUCUUUAUGGUCGAAAAAUGAAUCACAAAUUAGAAUUUUACCUGGUAAGAAUCCAUCCAAGUCUGUCAAAGAGAUAAUUAAGUCUUGCUCAGAAGAUAACAAAAUAUCAAGAUUUCGUGCAACAUUGAUGAAGAAGAGUUUGAGAAAUAAAAUGAACAAAGUUGUUAUCAAAUGCUCUGUUUGUUCAAAAAAUACACAAAUUAGUUGUACAAAACCAGUAAGACCAAAACCUAAGAAAGAGGAUAAUAAGGAAGUUGCAAAUGUACGCAAGAAAAAAAAGAAGAAAGGAAAAGACAAAACUGCUGGUUUGAAGAUAUCCACCAUGAAAACACCCGAUGUAACAGAAAAGAAGCAGGUGGAACCUGUUGUUUCUACCCCUAUCAGUAUAAAUGUUAAAAAACCUAAAGGAAAGCAAGUAACUUCAGUACAGAAAGUCAGAAAAAUUAACUUGAAUAAACUGAAUAAUGUCUUGAAUGACAGUAAGGUUCAGAAGUCAAGGAGCAGUCUUAAUAAUUUUCUCAAAGAACUUUAUUAACUAAGAAAAAAUCAUCGCAGUGUUUCUUAUCUACAAACUGUUGUAAUUCAAGACUAGAAAGUUUUCAAGAUGGCAAGGAAAAAAGGCAAGGCAACAACAACGACUCUACCAUAGUAGAGAGAAAGAAAGAGCGAAAAUGUUAACGAUGACACGUGCACAUGGCAAUCAACAACAACAAGUCACCUUAAUGCAGGCGUCGAGGUAAUCUUGCUCGGACAUUUGCUGGUUCUUGGCAGGCGGCACUUUUCCCCGACGGCGCAACUCCUGCUUGGCGUCGUUCAAGUCAAAGAUCGCCACAGGGUCCAGCCUUCUCUUGAGCACGAGGCCCGCCAGGUCCUGCCGGUAGUCGACGGGGUCGCGGCCGUACCAGUUGGCCGGCAGCUUCAGACCGGCCCGCAGGACGCAUGUCUCGAGGUCGUCGACGCUCAUCAGAGGCAGUGGCUCCAGACGCGCCCGACGCACCUCGCGGACGAGGUACUCGAUGUAGUGGACCCUAGAGGAGGGUGCGGCACCAGAUACCAAGAGCCCGAUUUCCAGGAUAUUGCGUGAUUUUACUUUUGUUUACGAUUUGUUUUUUUAUUGUUCUUUCUUCACUUGAUACCAUGACUGAUGAAUGAUUAAAUGAAUUUUUGCGCUGUGUUGCGAAUUAUUUUGCUCGUUUCUAUGUAUGAAUCUUGAUGUACAUAAAUUAUUUAUUUAGUUGUUCGUAACUGUCUUAAAAUUUUGACAAUUCAUCAUGUCAAUAGCAAGAAGUAAGUAAUAAGAAUUUUGGUUUAUUCGUUAACAGCUUGUUGUUAUAGAAAAGAAAAUAAUGUGAAAAUUCUUAU